UUGCGUCUAGUCUUGGAUGUUAUGUUCUUUGCGUCUAGUCUUGGAUGUUAUCCAAGACUAGACACAAAGAACAUAACAUCCAAGACUAGACGCCAA
rnacentral:pre_miRNA from 1 species